UUGCAUUCUUAAACCCUCUUGGUAGCUUCUCUGAAUGCUUCCAAGAUAUGAAUGAAUGCUAUAAAAUUGCAGGGGAGUCCAAAGGGCUGCGCUUCUCCUGUCGCCCAGUCUUAUUUCAUACCUGCGACAUCU